GUCUCUUCAGCUCUCUUUCAUCCUAUUGAUAAAUAAAUAAAAAUACAUAAAUACAUAAGAGACUAUGACCAUCAUGAUAGAAUACUAGUGCAGCUGGCAAGCUGCUGUCUUUUAAUAAUAAUUUGCUUUUCAAAAGAUAAAUGGGAUUUGACACAGUAAUUUCAAUUAAAAAUAUAAGAAAAAGACAGCAUCACUCCCAUUCUCUGCCAUUCACAUUCUACUCCUUUUUCUGCAGAUUGAACCAUUUAUAAUUUCCAGUUUUCCCCCUCAAAGUUCAUUUCUCACACUCUUCUGUCUUUUAAAAACAAAACUUGAACUCCUUUUCUUAAGUGCAUAAAUUUUUGGAAUAAUAUUUUUGCCCUAGUAUUACCAAGACAACAGGGCUUCCUGUUACAAUGUCUUAUAUACAAACAUACACCGACAGCCAAUAGGGUGGGUUGAGAAAAAUUCUAAAGUGAAGUUUCAUUGUGAGAUACUCAUCUUAGACAGGGAACUGUUACAUAUAGGAGAAGAAGA
rnacentral:misc_RNA from 1 species